UAGUUGCCUAUUUUCCUGGGGGCGGUGCCGCUUGUGGACCCGAUGGACCCCGGCGAGGCCGCCAUUUUGGAGUCUUCCCUAAGGAGCUUCUACCGGCUUUUCGCGCCGCUGCCGCCGCUGCCAGCGGCCUUGCCGGGCAGGAUGAAUGUGAUAGACCACGUGCGAGACAUGGCGGCCGCGGGGCUGCACUCUAACGUGCGGCUCCUCAGCAGCUUGUUACUUACAAUGAGUAAUAACAACCCUGAGUUAUUCUCCCCAUCCCAGAAGUACCAGCUCUUGGUGUAUCACGCAGAUUCUCUCUUUCAUGAUAAAGAAUAUCGGAAUGCUGUGAGUAAGUAUACCAUGGCUUUGCAGCAGAAGAAAGCCCUAAGUAAAACUUCAAAAGUGAGACCUUCAACUGGCAAUUCUGCAUCUACUCCGCAAAGUCAGUGUCUUCCAUCUGAAAUUGAAGUGAAAUACAAAAUGGCUGAAUGUUAUACAAUGCUAAAACAAGAUAAGGAUGCCAUUGCUAUUCUUGAUGGGAUUCCUUCAAGACAAAGAACUCCCAAAAUAAACAUGAUGCUGGCAAAUCUAUACAAGAAGGCUGGUCAGGAGCGCCCUUCAGUCACCAGCUAUAAAGAAGUGCUGAGGCAGUGCCCAUUAGCCCUCGAUGCCAUUCUAGGUUUGCUGUCCCUUUCUGUAAAAGGCGCAGAGGUGGCAUCGAUGACAAUGAAUGUGAUCCAGACUGUGCCUAACUUGGAUUGGCUCUCUGUGUGGAUCAAAGCAUAUGCUUUUGUGCACACUGGUGACAACUCGAGAGCAAUCAAUACCAUUUGUUCACUAGAGAAAAAGUCCUUAUUGCGAGAUAACGUGGACCUGCUGGGAAGCUUAGCAGAUUUGUACUUCAGAGCUGGAGACAAUAAAAACUCUGUCCUCAAGUUUGAACAGGCACAGAUGUUGGAUCCUUAUCUGAUAAAAGGAAUGGAUGUAUAUGGCUACCUCCUGGCAAGAGAAGGGCGGCUAGAGGAUGUGGAGAACCUUGGCUGCCGCCUUUUUAAUAUUUCUGAUCAGCAUGCAGAACCCUGGGUAGUCUCUGGGUGUCAUAGCUUCUAUAGCAAACGUUACUCUCGGGCCCUCUAUUUAGGAGCCAAGGCCAUUCAGCUGAAUAGUAAUAGCGUUCAAGCUUUGCUACUUAAGGGAGCAGCACUUAGAAACAUGGGCAGAGUCCAAGAAGCAAUAAUCCACUUUCGGGAGGCUAUACGGCUUGCACCUUGUCGCUUAGAUUGUUAUGAAGGUCUCAUUGAAUGUUACUUAGCUUCCAACAGUAUUCGUGAAGCAAUGGUAAUGGCUAACAACGUUUACAAAACUCUAGGAGCAAAUGCACAGACCCUUACCCUUUUAGCCACUGUUUGUCUUGAAGACCCAGUGACACAGGAGAAAGCCAAAACUUUAUUAGAUAAAGCCCUGACCCAAAGGCCGGAUUACAUUAAGGCUGUGGUGAAAAAAGCAGAACUACUUAGCAGAGAACAGAAAUAUGAAGAUGGAAUUGCUUUGCUGAGGAAUGCACUAGCUAAUCAGAGUGACUGUGUCCUGCAUCGGAUCCUAGGAGAUUUCCUUGUAGCUGUCAAUGAGUAUCAGGAAGCAAUGGACCAAUAUAGUAUAGCACUAAGGUUUAGAAUCUAGGGGUUGCCAGUAAUUUCUUUCAUCCUGUGAAGCUGUCCUUCCACAGUUUCCUGGCCUCUACUGAUACUGUGAAGUCAGCGGUGUCACUCCCUCCUGUGAAGGUAAAGGUAAUGUCUCUUUUUUUACUCUGUUGCUUUUAAGAUUUUCUCUUUGUCUUAGAUUUUCUGCAGUUCAAUAUACCAUGUCUGGGGCAGGAUUUCUUUUUAUUUAUCCUGUUUGGGAUUUGUUGGCAUUCUUGCAUCUGUAGGCUGCUGUCUUUUAUCAGCUCUAGAAAAUUCUCAGUCAUUAUCUCUUCAAAUAAUACCCUUCUCAUACUUUUGUCAUUUGAAACUAUGAUGAAAUGUAUGUUUGACUUUGUCAGCUUUUCAGUCUAUCUUCCAGGUAUUUUAAUCUUUCUUCUAUAUUUUCUAUCUUUUUUUCUUUUUCUCUGCUGCAUUCUGGUUAAUCAUUUUUUUAAUUAAAAUUUCUUUUUUAAGUUUAUUCAUUUAUUUUGAGGAGAGAGAGAGAGAGAGAGAGAGAGAGAGAGAGAGAGAGAAAGAAAGAGGGCUUGCAUGUGUGCGUGAGUUAGGGAGGGGCAGAGAGAGAGGGAGGGAGAAAGAGAAUCCCAAGUGGGCUGCACGCAGUCACGCAGAGCCUGAUUUGAGGCUCAAACUCACAAACCAUGAGAUGAUGACCUGGGCUGAAAUCUAGAGUUGGAUGUUUAGCAGACUGAGACACCCAGGUGCCCCUGGUUAACUUCUUAUAUGUCUUCCUCUUCAUUUGUUAUUUUGCUGUGUCUACUCUGAUGCCACACCCAUCCAUGCAGUUUUUAAUUUCUGUGAUUGUACUUCUCAUUUCUAGGAUUCCAUUUGAUUUUCGUAUCUGCUAUAUGUUCAUUUCUUUAGAAUUUCCUGUCUCCUGCAGGUUGUCGAGUAGGUUUAUUCUUUUCAAACAAAAUAAACCAGGGGGUGUUUUUUGAUCUCUAAUAUUUCUAAUCUGUGAAGUCUGGGUCGGUCUCUAGUGUGUGUUUCUCCCUGCUGCUUCUCCCUCAUGGUACCUUGUGUAUUUGGUGAGCUUUUACUAUAGGCCACUUGGUAAAAUAGUUGCGUAGAUCUUCCAAGACAUAAAACCAAGGUGCAUAUUCCUCUAGGGAGGAUUUACACUUAUUUCUGCCUGGGGCUCAGGGAUACUGCCUGUGACUUUAAAGUCAUGCCUUGAGGCUGCAGAUCCUCCAUAGCCAGUGUUUACACCCCCUUCUAGGGGGUGGGUAUUUUUCUGGUUCUGCUUGGUACCACAGCAGGGCCUGCAGCCCUUUGUUUCGGGGAAGGAGGGCAGGUUUAUUAUCUGGUUUGCCUUUAUCCUAAGGUGUUAGCCCUUUGGGGCCACAGCUUAAUGUCCUAUGAGACUUCUCACUUUUGCUGGGCCCUGGAUUUUGACUUUGCCUUUUCUACUCUGCGAGCUCUCAAAACCCCUGCUCGUUUUCACAGCUUAGCUUAUUUGGAGAGGUAGAUGCCACAAGGGGAAAAGAGACCUUGGAUAUUCUGAUUCUCCUUGCUGCUGCUUAGAUUUUGGCCCGGAAGUUCUGUACUCUCUUGUAGUUCUUUGAUGCUCCUAUAAAGAGUAAAAAAAUAUUUAUCUCAGCUUUUUAAAAUAAACUAUUUAUUUUAGAAUAUUUAUAGACAUAUGGAAAAAUUGAGCACAUGGUACGGAGGGUUCUUAUAUGACCCAGACCCAGUUUCCCCUGUUACUAACAUUUUACAUGAUAUUUGUCACAGUACUUACAUAUUAUGAACCAGUAUUUAUACGUUACUAUUAACUGAGAUCCAUAGUUCAUUCAGAUUUUAGUUUUUGCCUCUUUCUGUUCCAGGAUCUCAUCCAGGAUCCUGUAUUAUUCAGUUGUCCUGUGUCCUUAGGCUCCUCUUGGCUAUGAUAGUUUCUCAGAUUUUCCUUGUUUUUGAUGAUCUCAGCAAUUUUAAGGAGUACAGGUCAGGUAUUUUGCAGUCUGUCUUUGGGAUUUGUCAGGUGUUUUCUCUUUGAUUAGACUGAGGUUAUGUGUUUUUUUGGGGGGUGGGGUGGGGGGAAGACCACAGGUAAAAUGCCAUUCACUUCACAUCCAGGGCACGUGCUCUCGAAUGACAUCACUUGGCUGAGGUAGUGUCUGUUAGGUUUCUCCACUGUGGGUUAACUUCUCCCUCGUCCACACUUGUAUGUACUCCAGGGAACGCGGUCACUGUGCAUAGCUCACACUUAAGGAACUGGAGUUAUGGUUCGCCUCCCUAAGGGCAGAGUUCUCUGCAGAAGCUACUUGGAUUUCUUCUGCAUGGGAGAUUUCUAGUCUCUCCUGCUUACAUCACUAGAGACUCAUGGGUAUUUAUUUUAUACUUUGGAUGAUAAUCUAGUCCUACUUUAUUUUGUUGCUGAAAUUGUUUUAGCUUUGGCCAUGCGGAACGUUUUCAGUUAGUUCCUCUGUCCCUUUGACACAACCUCGUCUUUGAUCAUUGACGUGUUGUUGUUUUUUAAGCCCAUCUGCACUUCCUGACACUACAGUGUUCUCCAGGUGUGUGUUGUACAUUUUCUGCCCUGGCCCUAGACUCCCAUCUUUUUUCUAAGCAGAUUUGAUUCCUGAUUCCUUUCAUUGGAGAAAUGAUAUCAGAAACCUGAAGCUAAGUAUGCUCAUUGCUGCUGCAGUGUCCUUGCUUCCCGGCCCUCUCAGUUGAUGGUGUGAGGAAGUACAUGUGCUUAUAUACACACAACUGGAAGUAUUUCUAUACAGGAUCAUCUAUAUCAAUAUCAAGUGAAACAGGAUCUUAUACUGGUGUCUCCAAGUGUAAUUCAUUACCACAUGAAUCAUUCUAGCCCUCUCCCCUGGCUUAUCUGUAACCAACAUGAGAAAACUGGUUCCCACCAUCUGCCAUCUGUAUCACUAUCAGUUAUUCUCAGUAACCAUUAUGACUGGAACCUGUUAACUUCCUCCUGUUUUUUAAAAAAAUGAAUGACAGUAUUAUACAAGCUGUUCUGUACUUUCAUGUUUCACUGGCAGACAUCUGUUGGACAUCUUUCCUUGCUCAUUCACACAGAUCUACCUCGUGUUUUUUGAAGGCUGCAUAAUAUUCCAUGGCACUAAUGUUCUUAUUGAACAUUUUGCCUAUUGAUGGCCAUCCAGGCUAUUUCCAAUUUCUUGCUACACAAUCCUGCAGCAGGAUUACAUUGUUUCUGUGAACACGUGGCAGGAUUUCACUGAAGCGAGGACUUGAUCCAAGGGUAUGGAUGUUUAAAAAUCUCAUUCGUCAAGUUGCCCUCCUCCAAAGACUGAGCCAGUUUACAUGCUCAUCAUAUGCACAAAUACGGUUUCCUGAUACCAGCUGCAAGGGAGAGACCAGUAGCUGUCAACCUUUGAAUUUUGCCAGUCAUGUGAAGGGAAUUUGCUCUUUGUCGUAGGCACAGCAAAUCUGUUUUCCUAACUCUAGGGAGGUGUAUCUUGGUCCACAUGUUUACCUUUAUACAUGGUCCGUUUUUCCCUUUUCUCCUGGGAUUGUCAUGCAUGGAAAGCCUUCUCAUCUUCCAUGUUCUGAGUACUUCGUGUGGUUUUCUUCAAAAACCCCAGACAUGCAAACAGGCAUACCGUACACCCACAUACGUGGCACCUAAGUGCGUAUUUUGAACUUUGUAUACACUACACUUGGUUUCCACUGUGCAGGGAGAUUUCUGUCACUAUCUGCUGUUCCAGUUUACUCAUUUUCAUUGGUGCUGAGUGAUGUGAACAUGUCUCAGAGGCACUUCUUGGUUUUCCUGCUGUUGGUCACUGAGGUUGUCUCCAGCGCUUUUACAAACAUGCUGGUGUGGCUCUUGAAGCACACGGGAGGGAUUCUCUGAGGUAGGCAUGGGAGUGGGCCUGCUGGGCUGGAUGGUGAGGACAUCCCUAAGUUCACUGUGGGGUAUUUGCUCUGCAGGGUAAAGACGGCCACCUUGUCAGCUGCCAGGCAUGAAAUGCUAGCUCCUUGUGAUUUCACCAUUGGGGCUGAACAUCUUAUAUUUAUGAGCCAUUCAGGUUUUCUUAUGUCAUUUAGCUAUUUUUCUUUUGGGGGCAUAGUUUCAUUUUUCAGAUCUUUUGAUCCAUUUGCAACUGAGUACAAGGGAUACAGCUGUGUUUUUCAAGAUGACCAGUGACACAAUGAAUAACCCACCCUUAACCUACUAAGCUGAAAUGCCACCUUUCCAAAUUGAGCAUUCAAAGGCUGGAGCUUUAAUGUUUGAGGGGUUUGGUGCACAUCCUUGCUGUUCUUUUUCUUCCUUCAUGUUUGUUAGAAUCAGUCUGACUAAAAUGUGUGCUAGUAUUUAUCACUAACCCAUGAAUUAUGUAUCAUCUAUCUCAAGAUGUUCAUUCCCCCUGAGUUAUUAAACUUUCCUAUGAACAAGAUACUACCAUUGAUCUAGUAAGACUCUCGGGGCUUUCUGUUCACUCCUAGGCAUUGUCCCUUCUCUUGCCGGAUUACAGUGACCAUCCAGACAGUGCUUAGUUAGCAAUAGCGGAUGGUGAGUAUAAUUCUGGUCGUGUCAGUACUUGUGGUUUAUUUUCCAGCAAUUAUGGCCUAUUUUAUAAAAAAUGAAAAAUUUUAUCAAAUGUUUCCUUCAUAUCUGUAGUUGCUAGGACUUGCAUUAUUAGGUUUACAGUAUCAUCUAUCCUUGCCUGUUUUUGUUUUGUUUUUCACAACAUAAGAAUCCUCUGCGGGGGUGGGGGCACCUGGGUGGUUAAGCAUCUGACUCUUGGUUUUGGCUCAAGUCAUGAUCUCGUGGUUUGUGGUUCGGGCACUGUAUCAGGCUCGGCGGCAUUGGUGCGGAGACUGCUUGGCAUUCUCUCUCUCCCUUUCUCUGCCCUUCCCCGGCUUGCUCUCUAUCAAAAAACACUUAAAAAAAAAAAAAACAAACAACUCAUCUUAGGGAAAUUAGGAAAUUAGAGAAACACCCCACCCCAACCCUGUGCCUGGUAGAGGAGCACUAAGUAACCAUCAAAUGGGUGAACGCUAGCGUUUGUUGAUCUGUUCACAGAAGUGUAGGAUUUUACAUUUGCCAUCUGAACAGUAUUAGAAGCAUCUCUCCAUUGGUACAUCCUCCAAGCUGCUGACAACUAUCUUUGAAAACCCCAACAAUAAGACAUUCACAUUUGGCUUUCCCCAUACUUGAAGGGAGACCAUUUUGCAGAUCUCGUGUCAUACAAGCAGACCUCCUACCACUUGGCUCUCCUACCCAGAAAGUCAAGUCUAAGACCUUCCCCCAGUGGAAGCCAAAACUCUUCAGGGUGCAAGACUGGAGGCCCUCAGUGCAUAUCACCCACCCCUCCUGCAUGAGAACACUCAGCACCACACUGUGAACUUAUCGUAGAAUAGAUUUAUUUACCUGAAACCAUGUCUGUGCAAUGCUUGUUGCUAUACCAGCACAGAAAUAAACAACUGAUCUCUAUUUACAGUCUAAAGUCAAACAUGCGUUGUGAUAAAUUGACGUUUAGCAUUUUAUUAAGAUAAAUGCAUCACAAUAUCUGUAUUGCACCAACAUCUGUCUACUGCUUCUGAUUUCAUUAAAUAAGUUACAUUUAAUACAGUGCAAAAUAGCUGUUUGCACACUCGAAAAAAAUAACUGAAGUUAUGAACUGGAGGCCUACGUUUUAACCUUUCAACACCUGCAGUGUUUUCAAUAAAUUUAUAAAUAAGCAAACUGUACAGAGCCAAUUAAAAAGUAGCAUGUUUAAAUGACACCAUAGAGAAAUCUAGCUACUUACAACUGAAGGCAUGCAUUACAAUUGAAUAUUGUACAUUUAUAUAAGCUAUGACAUUUUGCACAGAGAAAUAUGGAGACUUGGCUGAUGGCUUCUAAGUUCUUAGAUAAGGUUUCAAAACCUCAGUCUUCUUGCAGCAAAGAAACCAAAGUUCGCUGGAGAGGCUUUCUGAUUCAUUAAGCUAAAUUGUACAUUUGUAAUUAUUAUUUUGAUUUAAAAGCUAAACCCGUUGGUAAUACACGUUUCCUCCACAUAACACACAAUGAGUUGGGGACUUUUUUCUACUUUUCUUUUUCCCCCAACAUCAAUCAUGCAGAGGGCUGGUAGAUGUGUUGCUAAAAACGCACAUGCACGCAACCGAACACCCUUAUAUUUCUGCAAAAUGGUUUAGGAAGCGGUUACUCCAGUAUUGCUGAAAAGGAAAGAGAGAGGAAAUCAGCUUUAUGAAAUAUGGGGAGGAAAUGUUAGAAUAACCAUUUAAGAUUAAUAGUGACAAGGAAUGGUGAAAAGGAAUGUUCAGUUUGAUUUUUUUAAGAUUUCAAGACCAGCAUUUCUGAUUAACUGUCCCUGAGGUGCUGCCUACAUCAGGCAGCAGCCAGAAGCACUGGCUUGGUACAAACCCUUCAUGUCGCCUGGCUACACAGCAAAGGCCACCCUGGCUCAUGGAAGAACCCCACCAGGCAGACACAUUCUUGCUUCAGACACGGAAGGGCAACGGGCAAGAGGGGAAAGAGUUCUCGGUUAGCAGUGUGGACGGUAAGGAGGGUGACACACAGGCGAGCAGUGCGGCUGAGUGCGAAGCCUCUACCUCCCCUUCCUCCCCACCCCAUUCCUGUGGCUGGCUGAGCGGUGGUGGCUUUGACAAAAUUGGUGGUUAUGUUAAAAAGGCAACAGCUGAUUUGGCGGACUUAGCCCAUGGGCGCUGCGGACCCCUCUGGCUCUAGGCAGUGGGGAGCCACUUUACAGACCCCGAGCUAAUGCCUGUGGUCUCAUAUUCCAGAAGGUCUGCCGCCUAAAGGACAUUCAGGGAGCUGAGGCCCCUGUCUGAGGGUGAUGUGAUAGCAGCUGCUUGCGGGGAGGCUGGCACUCGCCCUGCUUGUCUGUGAGCUCACGCAGCUCUCUCUAGAAAGUAUCACCUGCACUGUGCAGAUGAGCGCCUGGAGGAUGUAUGACGUCGCCAUCUUUUAGGCAAAGGCCUAACCAAGAAGCCGUGCAAGGCCUACCUGCCCAUCGGUGAGAACACGAACAAGUUCUGGUAGGUCUGAAAAGGACACCGGUACUGAUGGCGGCAAAAGCAGAGGCCGCCUGGGAAUUUCCUGCAGGUGCUGGGUGAGGAUGGGUCUGGUCUGGGCACCUGCCCCUCACUGUGGGAGGCCUGAGGCCCUGGAUGCGUCCAGAACAGUACAACUGCUGAGGAGGCGCUGAUGUGGCAAAGCCUGAAGCAGAGGGCACAAGGGGAUGCUCCUAGCUGCCUAGGCUGAGGGAAGCGGGUGCUGAAACUGCCUCCAGGCUGGAUGGGCCUGAAGCUGAGAAACCACAAGGCAACAGCCUGCCCAGGCUGAUCUGGAGCUGUGCAUUUCUCCGACAGCAGCAAACAACAUUUAACUUCUUUUGUGAAGGCUACUACUUCGAGGAACCAAGUCAGGAAAAGCUAUUGGGUGAGUUUGGUUUCCAUUGAAUAGCACACCACCCAACAAGCUCAGACAUCCUGUUCUGGUUUGGAGCCAAGGCACACUCCUUGCAUUUGGUCCUUUUUAGGCCUCAUGAUGCCAAAACUGGCAAAACCCAUCCUCUUCCCUGUUACACGCUCUGCCAAACCGACCAACCUCCCUUUCUCAGAGACCUCAUGCAGUUAGGAUGGGACUUCAGUCCCCUUACACUCGGACCUUGCAAGUUGGCAGUACCCUGCCCCGCUUGAUGAUUCCCACCAACUCUCCCCCAAACUGGAAGCCUUUACAUCACAUCUUUUGGCUGGUCCCAGAUCUGGGCCCCCAGAGCCUUCACAGGAACACUCAGGGCCUCAUGGGGAGGGAGCUCCUGCUUAGGCCUCCUUUGCCCUGGCUCACGGACAAGGCUGGUUGCUAGCAGAGCCAUGCCCUAAAUAACUCUGCUUUAACGUACCCUGGAGAGAGAGAAGACAAGUCCCAGCUGCAAAGGAUAGGACCCAGAAGGUGAAAAGAGGUGGCCUACUUGAGACCAACCUAUUGGAUGCACGAACUGACUGGUUCAACUAUUUGCUUUCACUAGAUUUUUGCUUUUUAAUGAACCAGGUAGCAAGGUUCUUGGAUGAAUCCUUGCAGCUAGUAAAGACCAAAGAACCACAAGUUUUUGAGAGUCCUCAUCUUGGCAUUAGCAAAGGCAGCAUUCUCUCAGCCUGUAAGUUGGACCAAAGCAAAAUGAGCUUCUCUCUCCCCAGGCUCUCCCUGACAUCCGGCUGUGCCACUGACCAAGGCAGCGCAUGGAGCCUAUAGAUGUCACACCUCGCGUCAGCUAACCCAGCCCCCGUGUGCACAGGUACAGGAAAGAAAGGUGGAUACGUACCAGUUGGUAGAAGGACACCCUCGGACCCCCGUCGGCAGCAAUGAACCACCACGCGGCAGCACCCACAGUAGCAGCGCCAACGUAACCUGGUAACAGACACAGGCAGGGUUUGCAGCCCACAGCUUAUACUGCGGGCUCUGCCUCACAGGCCAAUCCCCCGCAGAGAUGAGACCUGGUUUGUCGAUGGCACUGGAGAGCUUUGCUGCCACUAGCAACUGCUCACUCACAUCAGCCCAAGCAGCUAGACGGUGGGUCUCUGCAAGGAGAGGGGUGUCUGGUACAGAAAAACCAGGCAACUUUUCUUCCAGAGUUUAUGAGAAAAAGGAAAUACUGCAACUGGCAGGGACCUCGACGACAGCCAUGCCUUCUCUAACUGGCGGCAGGUACACACAUACUCUAUGUAAGCCCUUGCUGUGUUGGCUCAGAUCACAGCACCCAGGACUUUUAGGGAAACUGAUGCUCCCAGGUGUACGCUUAUUUGCUCUAUCAAAGGCCUUGCAGAACCUUUACGUGGAAAUGCUGUCAGAGCAGUUAGUGCAGAACACAGGCAACAUGCCAAAAACCCAGAGCUGAUUCUGGGACCACCCUCCCUCCCAACCUAUCAGUUCUGAACUCAACAAGUUUACUACAAAGCAACGGGGUAGUGGAGAACAAGGGACCGGACACCGUGAAGAUGGUGCCGAUGCAGCAGCACCCCCCACCACGACACAGGUGCACCCCCUAACCCGGCAGCUAUGGGCAGGAAUGAGAGAGCUGGUGCAUGGGGACAAGGCAGCUCUACACACACCGAUGUGGCAACUCCCAGCAAACAGGGAAAGGUACACGGAGACAGGGGUCAACACACAGGUGUUUACAGCACACCAACACUUAUGAAAAUAAAUACAUGAAAUAGAUCUGUUUGCUAGACUUAUUUCUGGGAGGGCACAUGAAAAACCCAAUGCUGGAGGGCAACUGACUGGCUGAGAACCUUCUCACGCUAUGCCAGUGUCCUUUUUGAAUUUUAAAUCAUGCGAACUUAUGAAAACAAAACCAAAACACCUUCCUAUGGAACCCCAGGGAAGUUAUUUAAACUCUGUAGGCCUCACUUUUCUAAAGUUGGGGGACAAGAAUCAGCAGCUGGGCCAAGAGCACGAAGUCUACAGAAACAAUGUAUGUAGAGGAACAUGACCUGUGGUCGAGGCUCCUGUGUGUUUACCAACCUCUGCAGAUCAAUGCACAUCACCCUUCUCUACUCAGGGGGAGCAGGGCUUAGUUUCAUAGCUUCGGGAUGUAAGGCCUGACCCUGACUCACCCCUAUAUCCCUUUGCCCUUAGAUUAAAUCUGAAAAUCUCAUUCACAAAGGCCCAAGGGAUAAGGAUGCUAAAACAAGGGACUAACUUUCCUGUAAACUGGACAUACAGUUUACUGAACUCCAUUUUUUGCUACCCUAAUAUGGGGAUAGAAGAAAAAAAUGUGUGUUAAGGGAUGAAUUUACAAAACCUUGGCUUAUGAAGAUUACGUUUAAACAUCAACAACAUAGGGGCGCCUGUGUGGCUCUCAGUUAAGCAUCCGACUUCAGCUCAGGUCAUGAUCUCACAGCUUGUGAGUUCAAGCCCCGCGUCGGGCCUCUGUGCUGGCAGCUGAGAGCCCGGAGCCUGCUUGGGAUUCUGUGUCUCGCUCUCUCUUGGCCCCUCCCCUGCUCAUGCUCUUUCAAAAAUAAGUAACAUUAAAAAAAAAUUUUUUUUAAAUCAAGAAUAUAAAAAACUGUACUCACAGCCAAUAGCUAGGUAACGGAAAAAGAGCCAUCCGCUGAUCAGUGGUUCCUUCGGGUUCCGGGGUGGUUUGUUCAUGAUGUCCAGAUCAGGUGGGUUAAACCCCAGUGCAGUGGCAGGCAGGCCGUCUGUCACCAGAUUGACCCAGAGCAGCUGGACAGGAAUUAAAGCCUCAGGAAAUCCAAGGGCUGCAGUCAGGAAAAUACUGUUUCCACCCAAAGAAAGAGAAAGACCCCAAAUUAUUUUUGGCCACUAUUUAAAUAGCAUUAGUACCCUCUCCUCCUCCCAAAAUCAAUGGACAGUAACAAUGACUGCUUGAAAUAACUUUUUUUGGCCAUCAUCAAACACUCAGUAUACCUAAUUUUGAGUUAAAGUAAAAUGUUAGAAGGCCAUAGUUAAACUCAUUUCUAUGUUCUAGGGUAUCCUUCACCGCCCAAGACAGCCAAAGACAGCUCUCCAGUGAGCCAAAUGAACCUCUACCUUCCUUCCUCUCACCUGGCCCUCCCUCCCGACUCCUGCACAAAGACCAAAGCUGCUGCCACAUGAACAAAUCUGGAAAACUGGUCAUCCCAAGCCAAUUUUAGAAAAAAGACUACAAGUGCUCUUUCGCAGGGACCCACCAGACAACUUCCCCCACAUUCGAAGAGAUGAGGUAGCGGAUAAACUGCUUCAUAUUGUUGUAAAUCGCCCGCCCCUCCUCGACAGCAGCCACAAUGGUGGAGAAGUUGUCGUCAGCCAGGACCAUCUCAGAGGCGGUUUUAGCCACUGCCGUGCCAGAGCCCAUGGCAAUGCCAAUCUCCGAUUUCUUCAGGGCGGGAGCAUCAUUCACACCAUCCCCGGUCUGAAAGGGAAUGCGAGAACUGGUUUCUGCACACCUGCCAUCACCUCACACACGCACCCCGACAAAGGCUUCACUGUCCUGAAGCAAGGGCAAUGAAUGGAGCCUUGGGCUUCUGGGCACAGUUAGAGAAUUUUCAGUUUUACAAAUUGGUGUCACAAAAUGCACUUCACCUGGGAAACGUACAACUGGUGAAUGAGCUUACCGAAGAGACUUCGGAGGGAAGUGGCACAAAGGGGACUUCAAAUUCUUCUGUAUUAUUUUUUUACCAAACAAAACACAAAACCACCCACGCGGCAGUAAAGAUGAAGCACAUGUAUCACACAGACAAAUCUCAAGUACAAUAGGUGCACUAUUCUAGGAAACUAGAACAUGCCAUUUACAAAGAUCAGAAAAAUACUAAAUAUCGUCUACAGAUACA